rnacentral:rRNA from 1 species
GACGAACGCUGGCGGCGUGCUUAACACAUGCAAGUCGAACGGAAAGGCCCUGCUUUUGUGGGGUGCUCGAGUGGCGAACGGGUGAGUAACACGUGAGUAACCUGCCCUUGACUUUGGGAUAACUUCAGGAAACUGGGGCUAAUCCCGGAUAGGAGCUCCUGCUGCAUGGUGGGGGUUGGAAAGUUUCGGCGGUUGGGGAUGGACGCGCGGCUUAUCAGCUUGUUGGUGGGGUAGUGGCUUACCAAGGCUUUGACGGGUAGCCGGCCUGAGAGGGUGACCGGCCACAUUGGGACUGAGAUACGGCCCAGACUCCUACGGGAGGCAGCAGUGGGGAAUAUUGCACAAUGGGCGGAAGCCUGAUGCAGCAACGCCGCGUGCGGGAUGACGGCCUUCGGGUUGUAAACCGCUUUCGCCUGUGACGAAGCGUGAGUGACGGUAAUGGGUAAAGAAGCACCGGCUAACUACGUG